rnacentral:lncRNA from 1 species
GGGUAUGCCAGAUCCGCCAUAAAUACAGGGAGUCCACUGUUCACCUGGACAGAGUCUCCCCUGUAUUUGCACGGCGUCGCACAAAUACAAGUACAUAUCCAGAAUACAACCACUACCACUGAACAUACAAACAUCCAUAUUUAUAUAUCCAUACUCCAUUCACCACAGGUUCACAUUUAAGAUUUAACAUAAAACCACAACUAUCAGUUAAAAUAUUUCUUAUCCGGAAACUAGUUUUGAAAUACUAAGUUACAAA